rnacentral:rRNA from 1 species
ACCGCGGUUAGACGAAAGGCCCAAGGUUGAUAUUAUCCGGCGUAAAGGGUGGUUAGGACAUACUAUUAAAUAAAGCCGAACGACCUCAAAGCUGUCAUACGCCUUCGAGACCAAGAAGCCCAACUGCGAAAGUAGCUUUACUUAUUCUGAACCCACGAAAGCUGAGGAA